AGUUAGCUAUAAUCACUGUCCCUCAGCCUGACCCUCUGGGCCUCUCCUGCCCUCCCUCUGCACCUUCCCCAGGACACUGAUGAAGUGUGGAUGGUCUCCUCACUGAUUUCGGUGUCAGAGAGGCCCUGGAAGGCGGCCGUGAAGGCCUCCUCACACUCUUCAAGCUUGGGGCUCCGCAUCCCAACAAACAUCUGGCAGAUGCGGAGGCGCUCAGAGUAGGUUGUGAAGCAGAGGAGACAGCAAGUUUAGAAGUUUUGCACUCUAUUGCUAAGUUUAUUAGUUAUUCUUUAAAAAAUAUAUAAUACACAGUUAAUAAAGUCUAAAGUUAGUGACCUUUUAAAGCUUCUCCAAUAUAAGAUAGGACAUUAGAACCCUUUACUCAAUUUGCACAUUCCAAUAUAUUACUAUUUUCUUAUUUUACAUGUGUCUUAUACUUAAGCCUCUUACUCAUUUUUAUUGUUAUGAUUACUCAAAUUAUUACUAAUGGUGAAAUAACAGAGAGUGAAGGUGGAGGGCAAAG
rnacentral:lncRNA from 1 species